rnacentral:rRNA from 1 species
UACGUAGGUGGCAAGCGUUGUCCGGAUUUACUGGGCGUAAAGGGCGUGCAGGCGGUCUGUUAAGUCUAGGGUGAAAGCUCCCGGCUCAACUGGGAGAGGUCCUUGGAUACUGGCGGACUUGAGGGAGGCAGAGGAAAGUGGAAUUCCCGGUGUAGUGGUGAUAUGCGUAGAUAUCGGGAGGAACACCAGUGGCGAAGGCGGCAUCCUGGGACCAACACUGACGCUGAGGAGCGAAAGCCAGGGGAGCAAACAGG